UUCCACUCUUCGUUGGCCCGCAAAACCUCGCGAGCUCCGGCACUCGACAUCUCUGUCUUGAAGAAGGAACUGCGUUAAGACACGAGCGGAACAACGCUUCCUUGCAGAACCUCGCAUGCUUCCAUAGACGGAGACUCCGUCUCGAUGCUCGGCCUCCCUCCUUCUCUCGCUGCUCUCGAGGAGCACGUCGUUAUCGAUACACGGAUCAACUGUGCGCCCUCGCGUCGACUAAGGAGUCACCUUUCCUAUGGAAAUCAGUCUCGGUCCAAGCAAUGUACAAUGCCUGAUGGCAAAUAUCCUUUUGAGAAGUGUCGUCGUUCGACGAGAUAGACAGGUGAGCAGGCCCUCAGUGUUUGAUAUGUGCCGCCCCGUUCCGUCUUGCCAAACGCUCGAAAGUGCCGAAACAGGCAGCUCAGGCAGGGGCGUACCAGUGCACCUCCUGAGGCGCCGCCGGGUCAACUCCGUAGAAUAAAACUUCGCUCCGCGCCCCGCCACCUUCGACUAGUCUACCGCUGAACCCGCAACACGGACGAACAAGGCAUUCUUCGCAGCAAAUUCUGGGUACCUCCUGUGUUGUCAGUACCUCUCCUCCUGUUUGGUGUCACGCGGCUUUUUCUGCAGCCGCACGCAGAUAGGCACGCACGCUUGUGAUGCGUCCUGGCUUUCUGGCAGCCCUGGAAUGCGAGCGCUACACGUCGCGUUGAAAUAUCUCUUGUGUACGGGAGACUGCAAGGAAGUGUGGGCGGGUUUGGAAGAUUCAGCGCGAGUAAAAGUCCUCUGUGGGGUGCACGUGUUGCACACCUUCGAAGGAACGGCACGACUUGGACGUUUGCUUGUUGGAUGCCUCCCGAGGUUUUCACACAGGCAGUCUGGGUUCAUAAGCAAUCUUGGUCCCAUGGUUGUGUAUCGGAAAGAAACACUGCUCGAACCACAGACCCCGUGUUUCCAAGUUCCUUCAUCUGGGGGAACUGCGGUCACUCUUCGAAUUUUAGGAACGCUUUGAGAAGAAACGCUUGCGGCGGUCUUGCCUCCGACACCGUCGUACAAGCUCACUGGUGUUCAUUGAAGCGCAGUUCAAGAAGCCGGUUGUGGAUUUUCGUGACUGCCUUCACUUGAACGCCUUUGAGGCUUAAAGGAUGGAACUCUUUGAGGUGGAAUCGACUGCUGAUCAGCUGGACAACAUCUUUGUACCUGAACGGGCAAGACAGAGUAAACAAGCUUGUGCGCCAAGGCUGCCUGUCAGCACGGAGGCGAAUACAAGGGAAUAUUUGUGUCCGUGUACGCUGGCAUGCACAUAUAUGCAGUGUUGUGUGUUUGCAGUACUUGGAAGGCCCAUUUGAACGAGUCUUCGAUAGCUUGGACAGGCAUGAUCGACCUACAGAAAAGUUGUCUUGAGUUGCCUUGCGACGUGGUCUUGGGAGGAAACUAUCCACAAAGACUGGACAACCC
rnacentral:lncRNA from 1 species